UUGGGUUGGCCAUAACAUUCAUUUGGGUUUUCCCAUAACAUCUUGCAAAAACCCCGAAUGAACUUUUUGGCUUAC
rnacentral:miRNA from 1 species